GCAGAGUAGGACCUUGUGCGUAUCAUACCCAUUGGUAUCCAGUGCCCGCCGAACGGGGAGUUGACGGUGGGACGAAUAGCUUUGAGCUAGCGAUACAAGGCUCGCAUCCCAUUG
rnacentral:ncRNA from 1 species